GACGAACGCUGGCGGCGUGCUUAACACAUGCAAGUCGAACGGAAAGGCCCUGCUUUUGUGGGGUGCUCGAGUGGCGAACGGGUGAGUAACACGUGAGUAACCUGCCCUUGACUUUGGGAUAACUUCAGGAAACUUGGGCUAAUACCGGAUCGGAGCUCCUGCUGCAUGGUGGGGGUUGGAAAGUUUCGGCGGUUGGGGAUGGACUCGCGGCUUAUCAGCUUGUUGGUGGGGUAGUGGCUUACCAAGGCUUUGACGGGUAGCCGGCCUGAGAGGGUGACCGGCCACAUUGGGACUGAGAUACGGCGCAGACUGCUACGGGAGGCAGCAGUGGGGAAUAUUGCACAAUGGGCGGAAGCCUGAUGCAGCAACGCCGCGUGCGGGAUGACGGCCUUCGGGUUGUAAACCGCUUUCGCCUGUGACGAAGCGUGAGUGACGGUAAUGGGUAAAGAAGCACCGGCUAACUACGUG
rnacentral:rRNA from 1 species